AACGUGACUCAGCCCCUUAUACGCUCUCUCAGCCAAAAUGUAGUCAAAUAAACCGAGGAUUUCGUCUCUGCUUCAGCACCACUUAUCAAGAACAACCAUAACAACAAACAAUUGUGUGAGGGAUUCACAUCGAUCUCAAACCCUUCCCACACAGGAACAACCAACAACAACAAACAACUGCGUUGUUUCCAUGUCUCAACCUCGGGACUCCUAUCCCGAGGUCACCAGAACCAGCUGGAUCCAGCUCCAUUCCUGCUUGGUAUCGGACUCCACUGCUACGCGUCUCCGAGUGAUGACGACAAAAUGCAGCUGGUGCCAGCCAGACAUCACUUCAGUCUAUUAUGAUGGACAUGGGAUACUUCAUAUGCCAUUGCCUGAACCUUGGACUUAGGAAAGACCUCACCAAAAUUACCUGCUGGUUGAACUGCGAUGCACCUCACUGAUCUCUGCCUGCAUUACCUUGGUCUAUUGAUGGACUACACUCUUAUAAUGGAAUACAUAGACUAUCAAUAAAUUGCCAACAAAAGCCUUCAUCAGUCAACUAACAAGGACAAUACAUCUAUGUGAACUUCUGCAGUUAUUCCAGGAUUAACUUCGAAGACAUAAUUCAUUAAUAUUACAGUUCUUACAAAAUCUUUGUUUAAACACUGGCCCUAAACACUUACUUCGUUUAAUAAUUUUAAACCAUGACUUGCACUGCACACAAAUAACUAAUAUUGGCAUUAUAUUCAUGCUGUUAGCCAGAGGGGAAUUGGCCCCCACAGUGAGCCUGGUUUCUCCCAAGGUUAUUUCUCUCCAUUAACCAACAUCUUAUGAAGUUUUGUGUUCCAUGCCACAGUCACCUUCGGCUUGCUCACUGGGUUUCUAAAUACAAUUAUUAUUAAUUACUUAUUUUUAUAUACACUCCAUAAUCAUAUUUAAUCAAACUACACAAUGAUGACUCUAAGACUUUAUAGAUAUUACAGUUUUCAUUUUCUGUUAAUGUAUGAUUUUCUGUAAACCUGCUUUGAAACGAUGUGUGUCGUGAAAGGCACUAUACAAAUACAAAUGACUUAAAUAUUC